UACGAAGGGGGCUAGCGUUGCUCGGAAUCACUGGGCGUAAAGCGCACGUAGGCGGCUUUGUAAGUUAGAGGUGAAAGCCCGGGGCUCAACUCCGGAACUGCCUUUAAGACUGCAUCGCUUGAAUCCGGGAGAGGGAUGCGGAAUUCCAGGUGUAGCGGUGAAAUGCGUAGAUAUCUGGAGGAACACCGGUGGCGAAGGCGGCAUCCUGGACCGGUAUUGACGCUGAGGCGCGAAAGCCAGGGGAGCAAACGGG
rnacentral:rRNA from 1 species